GAUCAUGGCUCAGGAUGAACGCUGGCGGCGUGCUUAGCACAUGCAAGUCGAACGAAGCACUUCAUAAAGCUUGCUUUAAGAAGUGACUUAGUGGCGGACGGGUGAGUAACGCGUGGGUAACCUGCCUUACACAGGGGGGAUAACAGUUAGAAAUGACUGCUAAUACCGCAUAAAACAGUAGAGUCGCAUGACUCAACUGUCAAAGAUUUAUCGGUGUAAGAUGGACCCGCGU
rnacentral:rRNA from 1 species